rnacentral:rRNA from 1 species
UCAAAACGGAGAGUUUGAUCCUGGCUCAGGAUGAACGCUGGCGGUAUGCUUAACACAUGCAAGUCGAACGGUGUCUUC